rnacentral:lncRNA from 1 species
GAGGAGAAGCGCUUAAAGCGGCGGGAGCGGUGCGGGAGAGGGGUUGGACCCAGGGCUGAGGCAGGCCCCCCCCUCCCUCCCGCCUCAGUGGAUCAUGCCCAGGGCGGCAGCGGCGGCGGUUGCGGGGGGGAAGUGACUGGGCGGUGCCGGCGCCGGAGACGAUGCCGUUUCCAGUUACAACACAGGGAUCACAACAAACACAACCGCCACAGAAGCACUAUGGCAUUACUUCUCCUAUCAGCUUAGCAGCCCCCAAGGAGACUGACUGCGUACUUACACAGAAACUAAUUGAGACAUUGAAACCCUUUGGGGUUUUUGAAGAGGAAGAGGAACUGCAGCGCAGGAUUUUAAUUUUGGGAAAACUAAAUAACCUGGUAAAAGAGUGGAUACGAGAAAUCAGUGAAAGCAAGAAUCUUCCACAAUCUGUAAUUGAAAAUGUUGGAGGAAAAAUUUUUACAUUUGGAUCUUACAGAUUAGGAGUGCAUACAAAAGGUGCUGAUAUUGAUGCGUUGUGUGUUGCACCAAGACAUGUUGAUCGAAGUGACUUUUUCACCUCAUUCUAUGAUAAGUUGAAAUUACAGGAAGAAGUAAAAGAUUUAAGAGCUGUUGAAGAGGCAUUCGUACCAGUUAUUAAACUCUGUUUUGAUGGGAUAGAGAUUGAUAUUUUGUUUGCAAGAUUAGCACUGCAGACAAUUCCUGAAGAUUUGGAUCUACGAGAUGACAGUCUGCUAAAAAAUUUAGAUAUAAGAUGUAUAAGAAGUCUUAACGGUUGCAGGGUAACCGAUGAAAUUUUACAUCUAGUACCAAACAUUGACAACUUCAGGUUAACUCUGAGAGCUAUCAAACUAUGGGCCAAACGCCACAACAUCUAUUCCAAUAUAUUAGGUUUCCUCGGUGGUGUUUCCUGGGCUAUGCUAGUAGCAAGAACUUGCCAGCUUUAUCCAAAUGCAAUAGCAUCAACUCUUGUACAUAAAUUUUUCUUGGUAUUUUCUAAAUGGGAAUGGCCAAAUCCAGUGCUAUUGAAACAGCCUGAAGAAUGCAAUCUUAAUUUGCCUGUAUGGGACCCAAGGGUUAGUGUAUUAUUUUUUCCCCUACCAAUUCACACUGUGCAAUAACAAGUAAAAAUCAUCUGCAUAAACUCCAGGGAGACUUCCAGCCUUUUACUUAUGAAUGGUCAUGUCCGUAUUACACUUUCUUUUAGAUAACCUCAACUAUAAUUGUCCUCAACUAUAAUUGAUGUGAGAAGCAUAAUUAUGUACCCUGUAAACCACAUUUAAUUGUACAUAGUUUUUAAUACAGAUUUUACUAACAUUUUAAUUUAUUCUAUAUAGAACUACCUUGUAAGUCAAAGUUGUGUGGGCAUUUGUGC